UAGACCCAUUGCAUGUGACGUCACAAUCCCGGUGACGUUACAUCUGGAGGACAAGCAAACGCGACAUGUAAAUAACAAAGCAAUAUUAUUGUCAAGGAUGGUUAACUUUAGCGCAAUUUAUGGCUGUUCGAAGCGUGCUGAUAGGGAUAAGGAAUUAAGUUUUUAUCGGAUACCAGCUGUGAAAACCAAUGCAAGCAAAAUAUUGCAAGAUUUACACAAGGAACGUCGUUCUUUGUGGCUUCGAAGAAUUCGUCGGGCAGACAUUGAUGAUUCUAAAUGCACGUAUUUACGAGUGUGUAGCCUUCAUUUUGUUACUGGAAGCCAUCGGCUUUAACGGACCAAACUAAUCGAGACUGGGCUCCAUCUCAAAAUCUUGGACAUACAUAUGUGGAAAAAGUUGACGUCGAUCGCUAUGCUCGUACUUCGGAAAGAAAUGAAAAACGAAAAAAAGUGAAUCCGUUGAAACAGUACUGUCAGCAGUGACCCAAUCGACCUUGACAACCCAUCUUGUAGACGAAGAACACGGAGUCAUAUCAGCCACAUCUGCUUCAUUGUCAGAAUCAGAAUCGAACACCAAAUAUUCACAAAGAGAACUGAGUUUGGAUAAAAUAACUGCAAUUAAAAGCAAGAUAAAUCGCUUGACCUAAGAAAAUCUUGAGUUAAAAAACAAGAUAAGUGACAUGACACUUGACGAGAAAUCUUUCUUAAAUGAUGACGAAAAAGUCCUCUUUUACACUGGUCUGCCAAAUUGGAAGAUCUUGUCAGCAACACUCGAACUGGUACGCCCCUACCUUAUGCAUUCUCCCAAAUGCUCUUUGUUACCAUUUAGGCAGUUGCUUUUAACAGUUAUGAAACUGUAUUUUAAUUUAACUGGUGUAGAUUUGGCUUAUCGAUUUGGAAACAUCAACAAGGGAACUGUAUCAAGAAUUUUCUUACAAGUAAUUGUUCUUUAUAAUUGAUUAAGCCCUCUUAUUUUAUGGCCUGAUAGGGAAGCCUUAAGAAAGACCUUGCCCAUGGAUUUUAGAAAACACUGCCCUAAAUGUGCUGCCAUCAUUGACUGCUUUGAGAUUUUUUUAGAUCGUGCAUUAAAUCCUCUUGCGAGGGCACAAACUUACUCAUCCUACAAGCACCACAACACGAUUAAGUACUUAAAUGCUGUCACUCCCCCAGUGUACAGUAAGCUUUGUUUCCAAUGGCUGGGAGAAAGAGUCAGUGACAAACAUUUGACUGAGAACAGUGGUCUCCUGGAUAAGCUCUUACCUGGAGAUGUAAUCUUAGUUGAUAAAGGCUUUGAUAUCCAGGAGUCAGUUGGUUUGUACUGUGCAACUAUCAAGAUGCCAGCUUUUACUAAGGGUAAAAAACAGCUCAGUGGCAUUGAAGUUGAACAAACCAGACGAAUUGCUAAUGUGAGGAUUCAUGUGGAAAGAGUGAUUGGAAACCUUAGAAAGAAAUAUACACUUCUGAGUUCAACUCAGCCAAUUGAUUUUGUCAAUUCUAAAGAAAAUGAGCCCACUACAAUAGACAAAAUAGUUACUGUUAACUGUGCACUAAUUAACAUUUGUGAUUCUGUCUUACCUUAUGACUAAAUAAUAUCUUUUAAAAGAUUUUGCAUGCAUACACUUAAAAUUGUACUAAUAAUAUUUAUAAGACAUUUGAUUCAUUAUAUUUCAUUUAUUCAA